GUCAUAAUUUUGGCUCCUGUUUCCAAGUAGGCUUACUAAUUCCCGUAACCGUUCACAAUACAUCCUUCAUAAUAAAGGCAAUAAUUAGUCGCCAAUUGUGUCAAUAAUUAUACUGUACACUGGACAGAUAAUUGGGUAUUAAAAAAAUACAGGACUGGCCUCCAGACCACCUUUCGAUACACAUUGAGUACGCCGUACGCGGGAGGUUAUUAUAAUUAAGCAAACGGGCUGCAAAUAAAUUCCAGCAAUGGGCAUGUGUACGCCUGAUCGCACACAAUCCAGCACUGCAUACCGCUGUGUUCCAGCCAAGCAGUUUUCGGUCUUUUCUUUUGAGGUUAAAAUAGGGCCACAUGGGAGUGACGCGGUGUAAAUAAAGCGGAUGCUUGACUAUUCAGCCUGCGCCAGCGAUGGACCAGGUGGAGGUAAAAGCGUGCUUUCGCCUAGUAACAUCUUGUUAAAAAAUACUGCAGUUCGGUGCAAAUUAGCGCUUUCUUGAAGCGCACAUGCAUCGGCGAUGUCGCGCUCGGCUGUGCAGCGUGUGACUGAAACACAGCGGCAACCCAAAGCAAACUCACAGAAGAAAAUCCGAGAGAAGACGAGUUGUAAAGAUGGCGCACACUGAAGAGGGCAGGCUUCAUUCUGUGGCAGUUCAGGCCAUGCUUUCUGUUUGAGCGUGGAAGAAGAUACAAGAUUGAUAUAUGAGUCAGAGAGAGAGAGAGAGAGAGCCUGAACCUGGAUAAAGGGGAGGGAACAUAACUGUCAUAGUCUAAUAUGCCACAAGGCUGUGCUGAGUUCCUACAAUACAGCACCUCCUUGCCUUUUUGGAAGCUUUCAGUGUUGCACUUGUGUCAAGACAUUAGGAGGUCAGGAAGAGCCAGAGGUUGUGUAUGUGGUCAUAUAGGACAAUUACACUAUUCAUCACAUGCCCAGGAGUCAUUUACAGUGUUCUUCUUUUAAAAUGACUUUGUCUUCCACUCCUUCCUAAAUUCAGCUUAGAAGGUACAUGAGCACUAAGUGGCUUUUUGAAUGUAAUAACCUUUUUAUGUCAGUUGGUCACACACAUUGUCCACACGUAUAUGCUUAGUAACACUUACUCAUUGUUUAUUAGUUAUUAGCUUAAUUAUGUCAAGAGUUUAUUUCACAUAAAACCAACUAUAUCAAAUCCUAUUCCAUCUAUGUGAAUAAAUUAUAUAGUUGUAAAUUAUAUAGAAGUCACAAAUAAACUGUAACGGGAAAAGUUAUUUUAAUCCAGAAAUUAAUUAAUUUAGUUAAUUUAAUCCACUGAAAAAUAAUUAGUAAAAUUUAUUUUAAAUUUUGGCAAAAAUUUAGUUUUUUUAAAAACCUUUAAAGAGGCAGAAGUGGAAAAUGAAAAGUAAAAAAUCAUGUAAAGUUACUUUUUAAGUCAGUUGGACAUAAGCAACACUUAUCAAAUUUUUAGAUAUAUUGUACAUUUUGUUUUUUUAUGAAUUGUAUCUCCCAGGAUACGUUGCCUAUUAAGGUAAAAAGUAAAAAUUAUCCAUUUCUUAAUGUUUUACUUAAUGAAGAAGGUGAACUAAAAUGAUGCCAUACAUAUUUUUUCAGUUUUUUAAAUUAAAGUAUGCAACAAAGUCCAUCCAGCCCUACCAAAUGAAGUGUUAAUCCUCAAUCUUUCAAGUUUCAUGUGGAUCCGUCCAACCAGUCUUCAGUUACAGCUAUUUUAGUAACUCAAGCUCUUCCCCAAUUGUUGUUUGCAAAUCUCCAUAUGGUUUUUUUUUUUUUUUUUUUUUUGAUCAUUCUUUGAAUGUUAAACUCUGAGUUAUUUGACACCAAUUUUGGAAACAUGGGACAAAAAAUCCUAGGACUAGUUUGCAAAAAUAUAUUUAGCAUAUUAUGCCAAUUUUCAUUUUUGAGUGGGUGUGACUAAAUGAUCCAAAAUGCAAUUUUUAUUUGUUCAACCAAAGGAUUAAAGGAAAAAUUAAUUUCACUAUUAAACGUUUUCUAGGGAUGUGCUUGCUUUUGUGAGGGAAAAAAACAUGAACAGCACCCCCCAGUGGCCAAUUUGAGCGAGUUGCAUGGCUUACUAGUUCUGUAUGCCUUUCAAUCAGAGGCUAAAGCUGUAUGUGUUAAUCAGUGUCAAACUUUGCAUAUGACCUCAGAACGGUUUCCUGUAUGUACAGUACUGUGCAAAAGUCUUAGGUACAUGCAAAGAAAUGCUGCAGAGCAAAGAUGCCUUCAAAAAUAAUGAAAUUAAAUCUUUCUACUUUUUAAAAAAUCUUACAAAGUGCAGUAAACAGUAACAGAUGAAACAAAAAACGACUCUUUGCUUAAAACUCUUUGCGUACAAUGUGUGCAGUUUUAUAAGGAAAUAAGUUUUACUGAGCAUCUUGCAGAACCAGCCACAGUUCUUCCAGAGACUUUGACUGUCACACUUGCUUCUUAUUUUUGCAUGUGAAACCCAGCAGCCUUCAUAAUGUGAAAUUAGGCCAAAAAUCCUAGGACUAGUUUGCAAAAGUAGGUUUUGCAUAUUAUGCAAAUUGUCACAAAUUUGAGUGGGCAUAGCUAGAUGUUCCAAUAGUAUAUUUUGCGUAGCCUGACAAGACAGUCAAGCUAAAAAAUGAGUUACAGCUGUUUGAGUAAAUUAGGCUCCUCCUCAAUAGAAUUGAUUGGCAUGUUGUUGUCAUAUUGUUUAGAAAUGUCAUAUUGUUUACAAACAGUAUGUUUCUGAUAAUUAUUGCGAUUCACACUCUGCUGAGUAAUUUGGCUCCAAAUUUGGGAAGAUAAACAAAAAAUCCUAGGACUAGUUUGCAAAAGUAGGUUUUGCAUAUUAUGCUGAUUAUCAUAAAUUAGCAUGGGCAGAGCUAAAUGGUUUUUGGGGCUUUUUUUAGGAGAAGCAAGGAAUCAGCGGCAAAAAGAAUUUUCUUUGCAUGCGUUACGGCCCUGCUAAGUUUGGGCACUGGCCUAGGGGAAUAGUACAGGGUUAGUAACAUGAGCUGGAGAUGAUGAAAAGCUGGGUCGGUGGGGAAUGAAGAGACUGUGGAACUGGGGUACAAUUACAGCUUUUAUUAAAAUACGCACAAUUCAUACACAGAAGAAAGUUGAAGGAUAGCAGGUGGUCCCCUAGGGAGAGAACUAGAUGGCACCAAAGGAAAUAACAUAAGACACGUUUCUACACCCUACACUAUAUUCAACCUCUUACCUAACUGCCAAGAUAACACUGGUUACUACUCUAUCUUAAGCCUCUACAAAAUACAAGGGGUGGUACCCAUCCACUUACCUAGUGUGUCCAGACAGAGAAUUUCCUAUGUCAGGGUGUAUGUAUGUGUGCACACCUGCUGACCUGUUCAUCCUCCCUAGGGAUGUGCACCACGGGAUGUGACAGCAAUGUGUAGCGGUGAAACAAACAAUACAACAUUAACAUAGCAGACAUUCACAUGACAUAGGCAAUCAGAACAAAUAGCAGACACUUAGCACAGAAGCAUAGCAAAGCACAAAAAUGCAAGCACUGAGAAAAUGAACGCAGAGCACUAAGGCGAGAAACAACGUGUGUGUGUGUCUCUGCGAGAGAGAGAGAGAGGCUGGCUCGCUGUCACCACCAUGGUCGCUUUAAAGAUAGGGCUCCUCCCAUUUUGAGCGCAUCCAAAUGAUCGAUUGACCCAGUGAUAAUGAUCCACCAAUAGGGCAAAGAGCCACAGAGAAAGGGAGAGAGGGAGAGAGAAAAAGAGAGCAAGCAAGCAAGCAAAACAAGGGAACAAGCAGACAAACACAGAUGUGUGCACACCAGUGUUAUAGUUAGGCACAAUGAGGGAACAAAUCAUAAGUCUCUGGUUCUGGUUACACAUGUGAGAUAAAAACACUAGAGGGUUAUGAUCAAUGUAUACUACAACUGGUAGGAGGCUAGAACCAACAUAAACUUCAAAAUUCUGCAAGGCUAACAACAGGGCUAGAACCUACUUUUCAAUCAUGGAGUACUUUACCUAAUGUUUAUUAAACUUGCAGGAGACAUAACAUUCUGGAUGAUCUAUUCCCGUGUUGUCCCCUUGGAUUAACACAGCCCCUCCACUGAAAAGGUUUCAAAAAGUCUGGGGCUGCAAGUACAGGAGCAUUACAAAGCAAAGCAUUGACACUAUUAAUUGCAAGCUGGCAAGGCUCCACACAAAAGUCAUGGAAUAACUAAGUAGGGAUGUAAGGGGAGCUACCACUGCCAAAUUUUUUUUUUUUUUUUUUUUUACAAAAACUGCGGUAAUAACAAUCCAUAUCAAGGAAUAGUUGCAGCUCCUGCCUAGUGGAAGGAAUUGGGGAUUCUUAAUGGCCAGGACCUUUUCUUCCACAGGACACACCUGACCUCGCCCUACUUGUUUACCAACAGAUGUUAUUGUAGCUUUAGCAAAUUCACGUUUUGCUAGGUUUAUGGCCAAGAAAAAAACUUUUUUCUCAAAGCCUCUCAAAGACUGUGCACUAGGACUCCAGAUGACUGGGCCAGUCCAAAGAAUAAACCACAAUGUCA